GACGAACGCUGGCGGCGUGCUUAACACAUGCAAGUCGAACGGAAAGGCCCUGCUUUUGUGGGGUGCUCGAGUGGCGAACGGGUGAGUAACACGUGAGUAACCUGCCCUUGACUUUGGGAUAACUUCAGGAAACUGGGGCUAAUACCGGAUAGGAGCUCCUGCUGCAUGGUGGGGGUUGGAAAGUUUCGGCGGUUGGGGAUGGACUCGCGGCUUAUCAGCUUGUUGGUGGGGUAGUGGCUUACCAAGGCUUUGACGGGUAGCCGGCCUGAGAGGGUGACCGGCCACAUUGGGACUGAGAUACGGCCCAGACUCCUACGGGAGGCAGCAGUGGGGAAUAUUGCACAAUGGGCGGAAGCCUGAUGCAGCAACGCCGCGUGCGGGAUGACGGCCUUCGGGUUGUAAACCGCUUUCGCCUGUGACGAAGCGUGAGUGACGGUAAUGGAUAAAGAAGCACCGGCUAACUACGUGCCAGCAGCCGCGGUGAUACGUAGGGUGCGAGCGUUGUCCGGAUUUAUUGGGCGUAAAGAGCUCGUAGGUGGUUGAUCGCGUCGGAAGUGUAAUCUUGGGGCUUAACCCUGAGCGUGCUUUCGAUACGGGUUGACUUGAGGAAGGUAGGGGAGAAUGGAAUUCCUGGUGGAGCGGUGGAAUGCGCAGAUAUCAGGAGGAACACCAGUGGCGAAGGCGGUUCUCUGGGCCUUUCCUGACGCUGAGGAGCGAAAGCGUGGGGAGCGAACAGGCUUAGAUACCCUGGUAGUCCACGCUGUAAACGGUGGGUACUAGGUGUGGGGUCCAUUCCACGGGUUCCGUGCCGUAGCUAACGCUUUAAGUACCCCGCCUGGGGAGUACGGCCGCGAGGCUAAAACUCAAAGGAAUUGACGGGGCCCCGCACAAGCGGCGGAGCAUGCGGAUUAAUUCGAUGCAACGCGUAGAACCUUACCUGGGUUUGACAUGGAUCGGGAGUGCUCAGAGAUGGGUGUGCCUCUUUUGGGGUCGGUUCACAGGUGGUGCAUGGCUGUCGCCAGCUCGUGUCGUGAGAUGUUGGGUUAAGUCCCGCAACGAGCGCAACCCUUGUUCACUGUUGCCAGCACGUUAUGGUGGGGACUCAGUGGAGACCGCCGGGGUCAACUCGGAGGAAGGUGGGGAUGACGUCAAGUCAUCAUGCCCCUUAUGUCCAGGGCUUCACGCAUGCUACAAUGGCUGGUACAGAGAGUGGCGAGCCUGUGAGGGUGAGCGAAUCUCGGAAAGUCGGUCUCAGUUCGGAUUGGGGUCUGCAACUCGACCUCAUGAAGUCGGAGUCGCUAGUAAUCGCAGAUCAGCAACGCUGCGGUGAAUACGUUCCCGGG
rnacentral:rRNA from 1 species